CAGAAGUCUGUCUUCUGAUCCUUUACUCCAUGAGAAGCUUGUCCAUCUCCCAGGAAAAUCCUGUCCUAGAUCUAGAGCUUGUGUCUCUCCUUGAAGGUGAAUGGAGUAUGGCCUUCCCAUUCACAUGUUGAAGUUCUAACUCUCCAGGGCCUCAGAAUACAACUGUGUUUUGAGGGAAGAAGUUCCAUGAAGUUACCAGAAUCUCAAAGACACCCUUAAUGCAGGAAGGCUACAAGGACAAUAAGUGAGAGACAAUCUCAGUCAUCAUCCUAGGAAAAGGACAAAGACCAACUGGUUUCUCUAGCUGCAGAAGCUCCAGAGUGCAUGGGACAGACUAAAAGGUGAGAGUGUUUAACCUCCUUGGGAGCAGCA